UACGGGGGGGGCAAGCGUUGUUCGGAAUUACUGGGCGUAAGGGCUCGUAGGCGGCCAACUAAGUCGGACGUGAAAUCCCCAGGCUCAACCUGGGAACUGCGUCUGAUACUGGAUGGCUUGAAUCCGGGAGAGGGAUGCAGAAUUCCAGGUGUAGCGGUGAAAUGCGUAGAUAUCUGGAGGAAUACCGGUGGCGAAGGCGCAUCCUGGACCGGCAUUGACGCUGAGGAGCGAAAGCCAGGGGAGCAAAGCGGG
rnacentral:rRNA from 1 species